ensembl:snoRNA
UGUCCCUGACUGGGUAAAGUGACUUCUGGUUGGUGGCGCCCAUCUUAUAUCAGCCAGGGACAAAGUAAUCGUUUGCUUACCUCAGGCUGGCUUCUGAGCUCAUGCCCUGGUUCAUGCCUUGGACACAUGG